UACGUAGGGUGCAGGCGUUAAUCGGAAUUACUGGGCGUAAAGCGUGCGCAGGCGGUUUGCUAAGACAGGUGUGAAAUCCCCGGGCUUAACCUGGGAACUGCGCUUGUUACUGGCAAGCUGGAGUGUGGCAGAGGGGGGUGGAAUUCCACGUGUAGCAGUGAAAUGCGUAGAGAUGUGGAGGAACACCGAUGGCGAAGGCAGCCCCCUGGGCUAACACUGACGCUGAGGCGCGAAAGCUAGGGGAGCAAACAGG
rnacentral:rRNA from 1 species